GAUGAACGCUGGCGGCGUGCCUAAUACAUGCAAGUCGAGCGAACAGACGAGGAGCUUGCUCCUCUGACGUUAGCGGCGGACGGGUGAGUAACACGUGGAUAACCUACCUAUAAGACUGGGAUAACUUCGGGAAACCGGAGCUAAUACCGGAUAAUAUAUUGAACCGCAUGGUUCAAUAGUGAAAGACGGUUUUGCUGUCACUUAUAGAUGGAUCCGCGCCGCAUUAGCUAGUUGGUAAGGUAACGGCUUACCAAGGCAACGAUGCGUAGCCGACCUGAGAGGGUGAUCGGACACACUGGAACUGAGACACGGUCCAGACACCUACGGGAGGAAGCAGUAGGGAAUCUUCCGCAAUGGGCGAAAGCCUGACGGAGCAACGCCGCGUGAGUGAUGAAGGUCUUCGGAUCGUAAAACUCUGUUAGUAGGGAAGAACAAAUGUGUAAGUAACUAUGCACGUCUUGACGGUACCUAAUCAGAAAGCCACGGCUAACUACGUG
rnacentral:rRNA from 1 species